rnacentral:lncRNA from 1 species
UUUUGAAACGUAAUGCUCUUACAUUAUCAAAGAUUUUUUAGAAUCAAUAUUUUGAGAGUUACAUAUUCGAUUUAUAAUGUAAGGUAUUUAUCUAAUAUUAUUAAUUAACAAUUUCACUAAAAUUGAAUAUUAUGUGUUGUUUAUAUUAUGGGAAAAUUACAUUCACUCUGUCUGAGGAUUGUUAAAAUGACACUCACAUCC